rnacentral:rRNA from 1 species
UACGUAGGGUGCAAGCGUUGUCCGGAAUUAUUGGGCGUAAAGGAGCUCGUAGGCGGUUUGUCGCGUCUGCUGUGAAAACCGGGAGGCUCAACCUCCGGCCUGCAGUGGGUACGGGCAAACUAGAGUGCGGUAGGGGAGAUUGGAAUUCCUGGUGUAGCGGUGGAAUGCGCAGAUAUCAGGAGGAACACCGAUGGCGAAGGCAGAUCUCUGGGCCGUAACUGACGCUGAGGAGCGAAAGCGUGGGGGAGCGAACAGG